AGGGCUGUGGCUCAGUGGCAGAGUGCUGGCCUAGCACAUGGGAUACCCUGGGUUUAAUCCCAGCACCCUUG
rnacentral:tRNA from 1 species